rnacentral:rRNA from 1 species
CAAUACAGUUGAUGGCGACCGGCAAACGGGUGCGGAACACGUACAGAACCUUCCUUCGAGCGGGGAAUAGCCCAGAGAAAUUUGGAUUAAUACCCCAUAGCAUAACGGAGUGGCAUCACUCUGUUAUUAAAGAUUUAUCACUUGAAGAUGGCUGUGCGGCUGAUUAGGUAGUUGGCGGGGUAACGGCCCACCAAGCCUGCGAUCAGUAACUGGUGUGAGAGCACGGCCAGUCACACGGGCACUGAGACACGGGCCCGACUCCUACGGGAGGCAGCAGUAAGAAAUAUUGGUCAAUGGACGAAAGUCUGAACCAGCCAUGCCGCGUGGAGGAUGAAGGUCCUCUGGAUUGUAAACUUCUUUUAUAUGGGACGAAAAAAGGCUUUUCUAAGUCGUCUGACGGUACCAUAUGAAUAAGCACCGGCUAACUCCGUGCCAGCAGCCGCGGUAAUACGGAGGGUGCAAGCGUUAUCCGGAUUCACUGGGUUUAAAGGGUGCGUAGGUGGGUUGAUAAGUCAGUGGUGAAAUCUCCGAGCUUAACUUGGAAACUGCCAUUGAUACUAUCAGUCUUGAAUAUUGUGGAGGUUAGCGGAAUAUGUCAUGUAGCGGUGAAAUGCUUAGAUAUGACAUAGAACACCAAUUGCGAAGGCAGCUGGCUACACAUAUAUUGACACUGAGGCACGAAAGCGUGGGGUUCAAACAGGAUUAGAUACCCUGGUAGUCCACGCCCUAAACUAUGGAUACUCG